CGUCCCUCACCCCCCCCUCUUGUGCCCACAGCACUAGGCGGGGAGGUGGAUGUGGGCCGACCUCUCGCUAGUCGCGGGGCGGCCUGAAAGUCAAGAUUGGCAUCGCCGCGGGUCCAACCUCCGCAGCGCCGCACAACAAGACGUGCCAGUGAGAAGUCUCUCAUUUAGCGUCGGACCGUGUGGUUUGCGGACCAAGGGUUAGAACCAUCGCUCAGUCUCUGAGUGAGGCUUUGUCAACUCCCUCGUCGCCAGGCGAUACGCUUCACCGCGUGUCGCAUACCUGAACAC
rnacentral:misc_RNA from 1 species